AAUUUUAUCUAUUUAUAGUUCAGAGACAAUAUAGUUGUGUACUUGAUGAGCUGUUACAAAAGAACUGAAUGUUUCCUCUUUGUCUCUUACCAUCUUGUUUGUCUUUUCUGAUGUUUAGUGCCUCGCCAUACACCCUCACACACACAAACACAAAGGUGGCAGGUGUGAGAGGCUGAGUUUGAUGUCACAUCAGGGGCCAGUCACUUCCCCCAUUAGGAUGAGCAGACCACCUGUCUGGCUCUUGGAUGAAGAGCUGUUCUUCAGGCCCUCCGGACUCAUUAAGGACCCACGAGCAAUUACUGCCUCCUCCUGCCGAGAAAUCGACUCCAUGCCCCACCAAAAGCUAAGCUGAAAUGCCUCAAUUCUCUCCUCGGCACCUCCCUAUCCGUAUUUUACCAAUUCACAACAAAAACAGUGACCUGACUGUGUAACCCUUUGCUAUUCAUAGAUCUAUUCCAGACAUCUUAAACCCGGAUCUCAAGUCUGUUUUUUACGGGCACAGUCAAACGCACAGCCUUGCGAAGUACAGUAUAGUUUAUUUGAAUCAUACAUGUACACACGACCUUUCAAAAAUCCAGCGGUUCCACUCUUCUGAUGACAAAAAUUGCGUCACGCAUAUUGUACACAUACCCAAAAAAAUGGAAAAUUAUACUUUGGCCUUCAGAAGUAGAUGUGACCAACUGGCCUGUCUUUUUAAAGUGCACCUAUUUCAUAGCUAAAAACAACGUUAUUUUGUGUAUUUGGUGUGAUACAAUGUGUUUGCGUGGUUUAUGGUUCAAAAAAACACAUUAUUUUCCACAUAGCGUAUAUUUUUGUAGCUCCAGAUUUCCCUCUCUUCUUGAAACACAUGGAUUUUGUACAAAACUCAUUGAUUUGAAAAGCGCUGUGUCCCUGAUUGGCCAGCUAACCUGUAUGUGGUGACGCUCCUUACCAUGUUUAAAAGAUUCGGUCACAAUGCAAUGCUAACAGGAGUUAAUUUACAGGCUGCGAGCCCAAGUGGGAGGAGUUAUGAUAAUGUCGGUCUUGUCUACAUCACCAAUCCCAUGAAGUAAACUGUUGCCUACAAUCCGUGUGUUUGUUGUAGUCCAAGAAAAGAGAUUUACGUUGGAGACGAUAACUCACGCCAUCGUUUACUUUGGGGUUUGUACCUUUUGCAUAUCAUUAACAUGAACUAAUACACACUUACACACCAAAGGAAAUGUAAAGUCGUGAAUCGGACCAUAGGUGCCCUUUAAGAUUAUGAAGCUCUGUUUGGAAUACACUCUUAAUGCGUACAUAAUGCCUACAGUUUCAUUAAAAAAUGCUAUAAAAAAAUUUAAUAUAUUGAAUCUAUGCUUUGCAGUAAGCGGUAAGUUAGUGUUGCACUACUACAUCUUAUCAAUCUGGGCCAGAGUCCUGCAACGGGUCGGGUAACCACAUAAAAGUGUCUAAAACGGGUGGAUUGUGACAUUCCUAAAAUUCACAGGCGGGGAUGCGGGCGGAUAAUUAAUUAAGUGCGGGCAGGUAGUAGCGCGAAUGAAAAUAUGUGCAAUAUUUGUAUAUCUAAAUUACCAUUACACAUGCACCAUAUGACAUUUGACCCAUCACGUCACCACAAUGCGACCUUUGUUGAUGCUUCUCGUAGCCUAGUUGGAGCAAGGGUUGCAGGAGUUACUUAAGGUUUAGCCCUUGAUUAUCGGAAGCUGGGAACGUCUUCUCUUAGAAAGCAUUUCGAGACGAGACUUUUAGGAGCACAGCAGGGGUUGUGUAGGCAGGUUGUAUUUUUUCUUGUUUUUUUAUUAAUAGGUUUAUUUGUGUAUAGUUAUCAGGUUCCAUAACCUAUUUAGGUCCCGAUGGUAGGCUACUUGAAUGGCGCAAAACAAAGCGCACUUUAGCCUGUUUCAUUAGCCCAUUUAUGAUGCUGUUGUGAUGUUGAGAGAGGAUUUCCACCGACUGCGGAACGACUGCGGAUCAAUCGGUCAAGUCAAUGUGUGUAUUUCCACUGACUGCUUUCCAAAUCCGUCACUGCUCCGGUUAUCCGCAGCCUUCCGGAAACAAAUACGCAGAGCUUCUAUUUUUGCCGGAUGCCGUAUAGCUCCGCAGGGCGGAACCAUGACUAUAUUGCGUGAUUUGGGCUGGUCCAGCAAAACGUCAUAAUUUAACGUCAUAAUGGGCGUAGACAGAAGUGGAUAUCGCGCGAUCAUCACGUGAAUUUGCGAGACCUCAAGGGUCCUCGUCACUUCAGCACGCAGGCGCUUUGCAACAAAUUCGGAACUGGUGGGUAUUGGAGGAUGGCUGAGUGUGGAGCCGUAACGCAGCGGAGCCGAUCUGCAGCCGCUCCGCAGUUGGUGGAAAUCCAGCGUGAGAUAAAAAAUAAAGCACUUUAAUUUAAAUGAUUUUACCAUGUGUAAUUUAUGCAUGUGCGUGCACGGGUCGGGUAACGGGCCAAAUAUUAACAAGUCUGGGCUGGUGUGGAUUUAAUUUUGAUAUUAUCAUGGGUGACGGGUCGGAUCUCCAAAAAAUAUUACCCAUGAUUCUCAGACAUAUUGACAAGGUGAGUUUGUAUUGAACUUUUUAACAUGUCUGUUUUGUAACUGUUGUUUUGACCUUUCCUUUGACGGCAAAAGUUAUGUGCUGAACAUUUCACUUAGCUAAGUUUUGCCAAUUCUUGUAGCUUCACCGUGAGAGCAGAGAGCAUGUGGAGCAUCAUUAACCUUCAAAAAGGUUAUGCAAUCUUUAGCAUUAGUUACGAGAUCUACAGUACAGAGUGCUAUUGUUAACCCUAAACUGUAUUAAGAACAAAACAUCCUGAAAUAUCCGUUCCUUGUGAUAUUACAAGAUUACAGUGCGGUAACAGCUGCUUCUUUUAUGGAUAAAUGACAAUUCGAGUGUGAUCUUAUCCAACGGGUGAUUUGCUGAGACACAAAAAUGGAGGAAAUCACUUAAAUCUUACUUCAUUUAGCCUUCAAUUGCAGCCAUAACAGAACUACUAAAAGUCUGUCACAGGAGCUCAAUGUGUAGAGAGAAGGAUGAAGAUUCGCUGACAUUUAUUUUCCAUAUUCCUCAGCAAACAUGAAAAAGAGCAUGUGAGAGAGAGAGAGAGAGAGAGACAGAGCAAAACCUUUGGUCAGGUGUUUUUGUGUUCGGGCAUAUGUGUAAACCGAGGAGGGGCUUCACCGGAACAACAAAUUCUAUUUCAAGGGAGCUUCAUCAGCACAAAAUGUUUUGUCUUGCAGUCUGUCAGAGGUCAUAUUAUGUAGACACAAACACACACACAGUUGACUCAACAUCUGUUUGGGUUAAGUGGACGACUCUUACAGUCUGGGUUCCCUGCAGCUUGAAACUCUCCUAAGCCAUUUUUCCCUGUUAUACCACCAAACGCACACACAGUCUUACAUACUCACAUGAGAUGUUUCUGCCCGUAAUAUUGAAAGAUAUCUCACACUGCUUCCUAUUUCAUCAUUCUUAAAGAAAAGACAUAUAAGUACAGUAUAAGUGCAACUAACAGAAGACUCAACUGACUUUAUUUUGUCCUUUGUUUUUUUUUCUCUCUUUCUUCACAGUUACACGUCUGCACAAGGAAGCUUGUAAACCUUAAGUUACCCAUUAGUUAUUGAUAUUCUUCUUUGAACAUAGUCAAUAAGGGCCCAUUGACUUCCAUAGUAUUCUUUUUACCUACAAUGGACGUCAAUGGAGCCUCUGAGCAGUUAUAUCUUCCUUCAUGUUCAUCACAAAAAAUUUAUUUAUACAGGUUUAUAACAGCAUGAGCGUGAGUAAAUGAUGACAGAAUUUUCAUUUUUGAGUGAAGUAUCCCUUUAAAGUGAUUUUCUCAAUGUGAGACAGACUGUUUGAUUUGUUGAUUGACAAAUGCAUGGACUGACCGAUUUCCAUUUGCGUGUACGCUUUCUCUGACCUGUUUCAGAUCGUGCCCUCUUCACCAAGCCCCCGUUCCCAUAGAAACAGAGAACAGCUGUUCUGUCAGGCCAGGUGUGUUUGAAUGACGGGGUCAUGUUUUGCUGUCCCAGGAGUGGACUGGAAGGAGAAUCCCGCUGUCUUUUGAUCUUCAGUUGUAUGUCAUGUACCUUUAUUGAUGAUGCUCACAGGUGAAUGGCGCGGUCACAGAGGGGCAGUGCAGAAGCUCACUGCAGAAGAAGAGAGGAAAUUAAAUCAGCAGGACAGACAGGUUUAGGGCAGAAGCAACGAGUGCCAAGUGCAAACUCAUUUAAUUGUAAGUGUGUGGGCUGUUGUCCCCUGAUGCCCGGCCCAGGCCAACCACCCCACAACCUUACAGCCUACCAUAGGGAUAGCACAGUCUGCUGCAGGGGGCGGCCGGGAACACACUCCAGUGUCCACUUGGUGGUGAGGAUCAGGCAGGACGUUGUGGCCUUUGGUGACCAGCAAGGUCUUCAUUCAACCCACUGAUUGAGCUUUCAGCCCUUCAUUCAUAAUUGAAGGCCAUUAACUCCCAUGGUAUCUGAAUCUGCAGAAUAGCUGUGUUAUCAUCAUCGUGUCGUCUCUGCACAGCUUCUAAUGUGGUGAGAUGUGAUAAUGAACACGUUUGACAGGUGGGGGAAGCAAGGCAGCGGGAAUGUGAAACAGUCAAAACUUAACUUAAUUACCAGCUUUUCAAAGCUACUUGUUUUUUCCUCACUCUCCUCACCUGUAACUUAGCCUCCUUUACAAGAACGAUUGCAUGGGACAAUUAGCAAAGUGCCUGGGUUUAUUUGUGUGUGCUUGCAUGUGAAAUAAUACAUCAACAGGCUAAGGUGCACAGCUGUGAGAAAGGAUAACUGGGUUUUAUUUCCAACUUGGUGACUCUGAUGUCUGGCAGUGGCAGGGAGGGGAAGAGGAAAUCGGUGUAAUUAUUCUCCGUGUGCAAGGGAGCCAGCUGGGGACCCCUUCAACAACAUAGGCUAAUUUAUAUCUCCGUGGCACUUUCCCGGUUUCUGACAGAGGCGCUUUCUGCUCUCCGAGCUCUCCUGUCCAUACUUCUGGGAGCCCUACUGCUGCUCCCACACCGCUUAUAGACUCCCUCCAAUCUCUUGCUAUUUUGCCGCACUGCACUGUGCAAGGAGCAAGUCAUUAUGAGAGCUGAUGGUUCAGACAAAGUGAGUCACUACCAGUUCAAAUGAACUAUUGCCUCCCGAGACUGAGGGUUUUAAUCCUUUUAAAAUGAGAGGUUAGAACAGCUUUUUGGUUUGGCGGUGUCUGAUUUCUUUUUAUGUAAUGCUGCAAACAACUUAAAUUUUGAGAAAAUAAUUUUUUUUCUUUUCAAAUGGAAGUUUUAUUAGCAUUGUUUUAUGUUUUACGUACAGUUUGUUACGUUCCUCUAAUUUGAUUGGUAAAGCUGAAUUGUAAGACUGCUAAAGUAGCAAUGGGGGUUGUAUCAGUUUGCAUGAAAUAAAAAUCUUGUAGUGUCAGCAUGUUUAAGAUUUGAGAGAAGAAAAUCUGUCAAGAUUCUCCUUCUGUGUGUGCUGCAACCAGUUUUUUUUAUAUUCGGCCAUUUACAGAUCUCACCUAACUAAGUUGAAUUAGCUUAAGUUAUCAAGUUUUUAUUUUUAUAAUUUAUA